CAUGUUUGUAAUCUGGAGUUAUCUUUGACUUUUUCCUUCUAUUUCCCCUUUCUAUCUAAUUUUUACAAUGUCUGAUCAAGUCUAACUGUAUAACAUUUUGAAAAUUUAUUUGUACUUCUCUAUCCCUGUGGCUAGUCCCUUAGUAUGGGUACUCAUUAUUGUCUCCCUGGAACAGUGAUGAUGAACCUUAUAGAGACCAAGUGCCCAAACUGCACUCUUAGACCACAUGUGAUCCACCUCUUUACCCCAGACAGGGGAACAAGUAAGCACUCCCAUUGAGCUUCUGGGCAGAGGGGCAGGUGAUGUGAAAAAUUUCCUCAGGAAAUGUGAAUAACAUCUUCAAUCAACUUGAUCAACUAUAGUGAAAUAUAGGAUGACUAAUACCAACUAUGCUCCUGAUACCCCUUAAAAAGGCAAAUACAAACUUUGAGGUUUAAUCCAUUGCUGGAAGUCUAGACAAGAGCAAAUAAUGUAUAGAUCAUGAGAAGGAAUACAUCACCAUUUCCCUUGUGCCACUUACAGAUUACAAUGGUGGUUGGAAGAAGAGGAUCUUUCAUUCAUAUUUCCCAUCAAUGGCAUGUUGUGGUGGAGCAACUUAACUAGUAGGAGAUGCUGUGGUCAGCAGUCAAUUGAAAAAAAAAAUCCUGUGAAAGUGAGUUUGUUGAAUAUUGAAAUGGGCUCAAAGACCUCAGAAGAGUGAUACACCCAGUAGAGACUGAACACAGGAGAAGCAAUUAUUUAGAAACCUACAUCCACAACAGAGGAGAAAUAUCUUUAAUGCUUAUGUCCCUAGCAUCUUCCGUUAAAUGAAAUGAUGGAUCUCUUUCUGGUCAAAGUAAAUAUAUAUGAGGAAAAUGAAGCAGUACAAUGAGGAACAGAGGAAGUUUGGGAAAAAAUGCUGACAAAUACUGUGUCCAUGCACAAAAUCCUAGGGAUACAAAAUAGUCUUUGUCCUCAAGGAUCUUAUAUUACACUGGGUGGAUAUUCCAUUGUAUAUAUAGUCCUCAAUUACUUGAGAAGACCCAAUGGAGAUCUCCCCUCAGUGAAAGAUUGCCCCUUGAUAGCUUUACUUGCCCUCAAAGGCAGUGAGGAAGUCUUCUGCAAAGGAAGAGGUAUGUCGGACCCCAAUCCAACUAUGAGCUACUUUGGGGUGCUCACAACCCUCCCCCUCAUGUCUGAUUGAAGACUGGCAGCAAGAUGGAGUCUGCCAAUGAGCUUAUUCCCUUGAUGUGAAUAAAUACAUUUGUAAUCACUAUCUGAC
rnacentral:lncRNA from 1 species